rnacentral:rRNA from 1 species
UACGUAGGGGGCAAGCGUUGUCCGGAUUUAUUGGGCGUAAAGAGCGUGUAGGCGGCUUUGCAAGUCCGUUGUGAAAACUCGAGGCUCAACCUCGAGACGCCGGUGGAAACUGCAAAGCUAGAGUCCGGAAGAGGAGAGUGGAAUUCCUGGUGUAGCGGUGAAAUGCGCAGAUAUCAGGAAGAACACCGAUGGCGAAGGCAGCUCUCUGGGACGGUACUGACGCUGAGACGCGAAAGCGUGGGGAGCGAACAGG